UACAGAGGUCUCAAGCGUUGUUCGGAUUCAUUGGGCGUAAAGGGUGCGUAGGCGGCGCGGUAAGUCGGGUGUGAAAUCUCGGAGCUUAACUCCGAAACUGCAUUCGAUACUGCCGUGCUUGAGGACUGGAGAGGAGACUGGAAUUUACGGUGUAGCGGUGAAAUGCGUAGAUAUCGUAAGGAAGACCAGUGGCGAAGGCGGGUCGUCUGGACAGUUCCUGAC
rnacentral:rRNA from 1 species